GACGUAGGGCGCGAGCGUUUGUCCGGAUUUAUUGGGCGUAAAGAGCUCGUAGGCGGCUUGUCGCGUCGACUGUGAAAACCCGGGGCUCAACUCCGGGCCUGCAGCCGAUACGGGCAGACUAGAGUUCGGCAGGGGAGACUGGAAUUCCUGGUGUAGCGGUGAAAUGCGCAGAUAUCAGGAGGAACACCGGUGGCGAAGGCGGGUCUCUGGGCCGAUACUGACGCUGAGGAGCGAAAGCGUGGGGAGCGAACAGG
rnacentral:rRNA from 1 species